AUUUAGGUAGCUUAAUUUAAAGCACAUUUCUGAAGAAAUAAGAUGGGUUUGCCCCUAAAUA
rnacentral:tRNA from 1 species